rnacentral:lncRNA from 1 species
GGUGGACAAGAGCUCUGAAAUCUUGUUUAACUGCGAUCGAUAUUUUGGCCAGAGAAGAGGAUUCUCUAAUGCAGAUAUAACAGCUUUACAAUCAGACCACAGCUCACAAGAAGUAAUAUGAAGAUCCUUAAGGCUCUGUAAGCACCACUGUAAACAAUGAAGCUCCGCUGAAAAUCUAUUCAUCCUUGGCAAGAACGCAUCUCGGGCAUGGAAAAGAGCUUCACCAUCAUGAUUGCGGAUUAACCAGGCUCACAAAAAGAGCUUGCAUUCACCCAAGAGCAAUGAAUAUUACAUUUCAACACUCCACAGCCAGGCCGGAUCCAUCUCUGCGAAGGUGGAUGAGCUCGACUACCAUCGAUAGAAGUCGCUGUCCGAAUACGUUGUUGUUGAGCAGACCACUCCUCAGAUGCAGUUAGAGCCGCAACCAACAAAAUGUGAGGGUCAUGAACUUGUCCUGCAAAGAUAGUACCAUUUCGUGCCUUCCAAAUUUCCCAAAGUAUCCAGGGAAUUGCAGCUCUAUAUUGUGCUGAGACGUCAACUCUCCCCAUAAGAUCCAGAGAAUAUUCCAUAUUCUUAGCAAUAUCUCCCGAGAAACCAUGACUCGGUAAUGGAAGUGAAGAAUUUAACCAAACAUGUCUAGCUAAAGCACACUCAAAUAAUACAUGAGAUACCGUUUCUUCUUCUGCAUUACACAGUUGACAU